GAUGAAGAACGCAGCGAAAUGCGAUAAGUAGUGUGAAUUGCAGAAUUCAGUGAAUCAUCGAAUCUUUGAACGCACAUUGCGCCCCUUGGUAUUCCAUGGGGCAUGCCUGUUCGAGCGUCAUUUGUACCUUCAAGCUUUGCUUGGUGUUGGGUGUUUGUCUCGCCUUUGCGUGUAGACUCGCCUUAAAAUAAUUGGCAGCCCGCGUAUUGAUUUCGGAGCGCAGUACAUCUCGCGCUUUGCACUCAUAACGACAGCGUCCAAAAGUACAUUUUACACUCUUGACCUCGGAUCAGGUAGGGAUACCCGCUGAACUUAAGCAUAUCAAUAAGCGGAGGA
rnacentral:misc_RNA from 1 species